GUCUCCAGCCUCUUCCGCUGCCUGCGCUCACGGCGCUUACCUCCACAGUCGGGAUUGGCGCAGCCAGCUGCUCCGGAGUCAGGCUCCCGAACUCCUCGGCUAGGACAUCCAUUCCAUUCACGGUAGAGGAAGAAGUCGGCAGAAUGUUCACAUCCGCCCGUGCGGCUCCAAGCAAGUAGCACGCGGAGAGUGGUGUGCGUUCUCCUCCGGUGUCCCCGUGGCGCUUGUUUACCGGGGGGCGUUUCAAAAGGUUCCGCCUGGUCAGGGCCUAACCUGCGGAGGAACCCGGAAGUGACCGAGCCGGAUGUGGAAAACUACACCCACUGGUGUACUUCCGAGGUCUCGCCGGGCUAAUCCUAGACUCCUGACAGGCUCAUUUCCAAAAAAAAAGAGGUAAAAGAUGCCAACAGUUUUUAAAUGAGUUUCAGUUUGGGAACAUACAAAAAUUGUGGAGAUGGAUGGUGUCACAUGACUGUGUACAAUGCUGCUGGCCAUUUAUUAGUUGAACUAUUUAAUAGUUCACCUGUAUAAUUAGCACCAUCUAAUAAUAUAAGUGUUCGUUUUUUUUUUUUUAAACUGGUCCAAGGUAAUCUGCAUACAGAAUUAGCUAGUUAAGUUUCAGUGCUUGUAUCUAAACGUUGUGCUGAUAGACGUCUGAAACUAAGUGAAGAAAGAAAGAAAAAAAAUACAGGCCACCAAGAUGGCUCAGUAUGUUAAGUCACCUGCCACAAAGCUUGAAAAGCCGGGUUCAGCCCCCAAGACCCACAUUGUAGAAGGAGAGAAGCAACUCCAAAGAGCUGUCCUCUGAUCCCCAUACUCACGUGUAAGACAGAUCAUUUAAAACCAAGAAUGAUCAGCCCCCCUCCCCCCUUAAAUCCUUAAGAUUUACUCAGGGAGACUACAUUUGAAUGAUGCCUGUGAGUUAUUAUACCAGAGAGCACCCUACUCAGGGUGUAGUCCGGAAGGGAUUGGGAAAGGGAGCUGAAGACUUCAGGACAUCAAGUUUGGCUCAGGCAUGUCAGCUGUCUUCUACAGAGUCGUCUUGGAUUCCCACUAUGAAGAUGGUUCUACUGUAAACCAGAUCACAGACACCUGGAGAGCUAAACAUCUCAGCUUUCUGAUCGGCAGGCUGGAGCUGGAAAUCUGCAUUUCUAGCAAGCUCUCUGCUGUUGGGACCUAAUACCAUAACCUCUGUACUUGUCUAGUUCUUCAGGCUGUGAAUGCUGGAAUGCAAACGGCCUUGCUUUCCAGGUUCUAGUGCAUUGUUUGUUCCUUAAUAAGUUUGUGUUGAAUUCAUAAUUCGAAAAUAGAAUUGCAGUAGGUAAUAAUAAGUUUAACAUUGUAUUCCUGGUUUUCACCCUGAGUUUUUAAAGUUUCUUUUGAAAUGAAGGACACUUUGGAGGAUGUAGUCCCUAAUCUUCAUGGCUACACUUGGUUGACAGUGAUGAUGUUGGCUAUUAGACCACAAUUCCUUGUAAGAUUUUUUUGCAUUACACCUGUAUCCCAGAUCAAACCCAUGACUUCUUUUUGAUCUCUAGGAGGCUAGACUUUGGAAGCAAGGUGGGGAAAAAGCCAGGGGUAGUUUUGUGCUUCCUCAGUAUUAUGCUACCAUACCCUUUUACUGAGGUGUUAAUACAAAAGCCUGGUGGUUUGCAUAAAGGUGUGGGAGCUCCCGGAGGACAAGUGCUAUGCAUCCUGAGCGAUCCUUUAUACAAGGCGAAUGGGUACAUGGAGCCAAAUGAAAAGUUAUCCAAUGCCAUGGGGGCAAGAAUGGCUAAUUGAAGGACACUGUAAUGGGAGAGGUGUUUAGGACUCUGGGAAACUAGGAAAAGUGUCCAUUAUUUUGAACAUUACUCCUUAACAGGUAUUUGAAUACUAUCUUUAGGUGGAUUCUCUAAUUAUCCACCUUUGGUGGUAAGUGGAGAUCUUCAUUUGACAAGCUAAGGCAGUGGUUAAGAAAUUUGGCUCACACCUUUAAUCUCAGCACUUAGGAGGCAGAGAGGCAGGUGAGUCUCUAAGUUCAAGGCUAGCCUGACCUACAGAGUAAGUUUGAAGACAGCCAGGGCUACACACAAAAAAACCCUGUCUC
ensembl:lincRNA